GCCCGUAUAGUAUAACGGCAAUACACAUCCAUGGUAAGGAUGAACUGGUGGUUCGAUUCCGCCUACGGGCACCA
rnacentral:tRNA from 1 species